rnacentral:lncRNA from 1 species
GGCCUGGGCUGAGUCCUGCUGCUUCUCAUUCGCUUUGCAUGCGGCAACGCUGGCGUCGCACGCGGCGGGUCCCGCCUCCCUGCUGUUCCACCGCUCGGGCCCAGCUCACUGUGGCCCAUCGCCAGCGCGCGUCAGCUGCGUCCAGCUUUCCUGAUGAAAGGAGCCGUGCCAGGACUCCUGUUGACACACAUCGCUGCUUAUGUAAUGUAGCACAUUGCCCUACAUUGGACCACAGCCACGCGGUCCUGGUGGAUAAUGUGGCCUGCACCGCGCCCGUCCACGUCCUCUGCCUGAUAGGAGGAGGCAGCCGGGACCGUCCUCGGUCGGCGCCGCUGAACCGGGCCGCUGAACCGGGCCGCUGAACCGGGCCGCUGGACCCGGCCGCUGGAAGGAGGCCGGACGCUUGGCAGCAGCGGUAACACACUGUGACAGGUCGACCUGUGUGUUUAAGAACCCGUUUCCUGGUCACGUCCCGCUCUGUUUGCAGCGCUCUCUGUUGCUGCCAGCGCCAUCUGCUCCUGUUUACAGACACUCGGCCCGUUUUAAUAAGGUAUCCGCUCCUUCUUACUGUAAAGCACUUCUAUUUACAAACAGACUGUUCGCACUAUUUUGCUCUGAAAUGUUGGACGUCAAACUUCAAAGAAGCCACAAAAUUUCCAAAAUACACUGUAAUCAUCAUGCUGUUAUUACACAGCCGUUGCUAUGGUAACUGUAGCAAGCUGCCAGUAGAAACUGUGAAGCGCCCGUGUAUUAUGUGCUUUAUCUCCGUAAGCGAGUCACUUUCUGUUUGAGUCACUGUGUCCUCCGCACCCCAUGGCAACCGUGUCUGCCCAGCGCGGUGCGAAACUGUAACGCAAAUCAGAGGCCCUUUUUUGACAGGGAAUAUGAGACUCACAAUCUCUCUCAUCCCGUCCAGAUCAGCUCCACUCAUCAUCACCAACCAUGUCCCCUGUAUAUUCUUCACCUACUGUACAGUACAGGCCCAGAAAUUGAUCCUAGGUGCCUUUCAUUUCAACCCGAUCACGUUUCAAAAUAGUGUUCGAGCAUGUGCUCCCAGUGGAAUGAGAUGAAGGUCAUCUCCAGCUGUCUGAGAUGUUGUUGUCAUUACAACUGGCUGAUCAUGUGACAGGGUCACCUCCUCCGUGUGUGUGUUCAGUCUAUUACAGUACAUCAGCAGCCCCUUUCAUCCUGUCUACUUGGCCUCAUGCUGCCUUCAGGGAGCAGGUCAGACGUAAUCGUAGGGAAUCAAGGGAUUUCCAGGGGACUCUUGUGCACACACAUAUUUGAGAUGCCAAUCAAUAUUCUUCACAUGGGAGACACGUGGGUGAGGACUUGACUGAAAGCACUAGAUCAAGGUUAUGUGGAAGGAGAUGCUGACUGUCAGCAUACAUGUGCUGAACGGGCAACAAAUUUUGGAGGGAUAAUGUAAACAUUUGCCUUUUCAGUAUCACAGGUCCAUUGGGUAGGUCCAUGUUUUCCUCCAGACAAAACAUUUCCAAAGCCAUUAUCCUCAGAAACGAAGCGCAGCGCAGAGGACGACGUCAAGCCUGGGAGCGCGGCGGCUUCUUUAUCUGCUUCCUGUUGACCUCCUCCUGUGUCCACAGCUGUAAGCGAGCGCGUCGGGAAACACCGGCCCCCCCGGAGAGCCAGGCCCGCUGUCAGCAGAGCCGCCGCGAGGCCUUAUAAGGAUGGGACUCUGUCAAUGCAAUCACAGCGGCUGGAGCAGAAAAUAGACUGUGUAACUACCAAAUUAUUGACUGAUGACAGACAGCAGCAUUAACAUAGAGAUGGAAAAGCAGCGCUGAACUGGGGAACUCCCGCCCCUCCCCAGGCCUGAGUCACCAUCAGGAAAGGAGCCAGACCCAGACACAGGCAGCCUUUCACCUAAAUCCCCCCUCAGCCCCUCAACGCCCCCACUCCUAAACCUGCGAGGGCCGUCUGGCCCGUAAACCAGCGCGAGCGGCCCUUUGUUUCUAGGAGAGGCAUAAACACCUGCACAGGAACCUGCUUUUAUUGACCCACACAUACAGUAGCGCUGCCUUCACCGUUACCAUCAACAGGGCUUCAGUGGUUGAGACAUCCGUCCCGUUUGCGCCAUUUUUGUGGUUUUGUUUUUGGUUUGGGCGUCACACGGUUGCUACGGUGACAAUCAUUCGUCGUAAACACCAGCGUGAGAGGAGGAAGUGAAGCCUCCAAAGUUUUUUUCAGUAGGUUCUGAACAUAGUGUGACUUCAUUCCAGUACACAGCACCUGGUAAAUAAAAAAACGUGUGGUCUGAGUCCUGUUAUCA